UGAUGCUGCUUGAAAGCUCAAGUUUCUUGGCAAUGUAAUGACAGUCACAGCCUGAUGAAAAUGUGCAUUUCGGAUGGUUUUUCCUUGUGAACUUGUCUAAUUUCCACAUUACCUUUGAAAAAAAAUGAGUGGAGCUUCCCCAAUAUACCACAACCACACAAAAGCUGCUCCUGAUGGCCUCUGAUCUGAAAACACUGCAGCAGGAAAUCUCCUCUAGAGAUUUAUUUGACAGAAUGAGCUCAUCCUCUGGCUGAAGUCUUUGCAUACCUAUUGGACUGGCAGAUCAGAAUAACUGCACCAACAUGGGCAAGCAUGUGAU
rnacentral:lncRNA from 1 species